rnacentral:rRNA from 1 species
GACGAACGCUGGCGGCGUGCCUAAUACAUGCAAGUCGAGCGCAGGAAACUGACGGAACUCUUCGGAGGGAAGGCAGUGGAAUGAGCGGCGGACGGGUGAGUAACACGUAAGGAACCUGCCUCAAGGAUUGGGAUAACUCCGAGAAAUCGGAGCUAAUACCGGAUAGUUCAACGGACCGCAUGGUCCGCUGAUGAAAGGCGCUCCGGCGUCACCUUGAGAUGGCCUUGCGGUGCAUUAGCUAGUUGGUGGGGUAACGGCCCACCAAGGCGACGGGGCAUAGCCGACCUGGGAGGGUGAUCGGCCACACUGGGACUGAGACACGGCCCAGGGUCCUACGAGAGGCAGCAGUAGGGAAUCUUCCACAAUGGACGAAAGUCUGAUGGAGCAACGCCGCGUGAGUGAUGAAGGUUUUCGGAUCGUAAAACUCUGUUGUAAGGGAAGAACACGUACGAGAGGAAAUGCUCGUACCUUGACGGUACCUUACGAGAAAGCCACGGCUAACUACGUGCCAGCAGCCGCCGUAA